GUGUUAAGACCGAAAAAAGCUUUACAAAAUAGAUAGAUAAAAAGAGACCGAAUACGAUUCCUGUAUUCGGUCCAGGGAAAUGGCUCUUGGGAGAGAGCCGUGCGCUAAAAGUUGGCAUUAAUGCAGGCUCAAUCGCCUUGCACUUUAAGAAUAGAUGACGACGCCAGGUUUUCCAGUCCACAGCAAAAGUGGUCUGAAAAAAAGCGUCAGAGCAUCAUUAAAUACAAGAAAACCGCAGUGCUGCAUCA
rnacentral:sRNA from 1 species